rnacentral:rRNA from 1 species
AUUGAACGCUGGCGGCAUGCUUUACACAUGCAAGUCGAACGGCAGCGCGGGCUUCGGCCUGGCGGCGAGUGGCGAACGGGUGAGUAAUACAUCGGAACGUGCCCAGUAGUGGGGGAUAGCUCGGCGAAAGCCGGAUUAAUACCGCAUACGACCUGAGGGUGAAAGCGGGGGAUCUUCGGACCUCGCGCUAUUGGAGCGGCCGAUGGCAGAUUAGCUAGUUGGUGGGGUAAAGGCCUACCAAGGCGACGAUCUGUAGCUGGUCUGAGAGGACGACCAGCCACACGGGGACUGAGACACGGCCCAGACUCCUACGGGAGGCAGCAGUGGGGAAUGUUGGACAAUGGGCGAAAGCCUGAUCCAGCAAUGCCGCGUGUGUGAUGAAGGCCUUCGGGUUGUAAAGCACUUUUGGCGGGAACGAAAAGGACUGUGCCAAUACCACGGUUCGAUGACGGUACCCGCAGAAUAAGCACCGGCUAACUACGUG